UGUCGUCCUUCUAGGGCCAUGUGGUGCCAGCCCAAGCGUCAACGUCGGCCUCAAGUAGUCACGCCCAUUGUCUCAGGUCCUGCUCCUCUCCCCUCCCCUGCCCGCCGCCACCGCCAGUUGGCAGACCGCCUAUCGGCCACCGCUGCACAUCGCCCGUCUGGCUGUUAGCACCGGCACGCAGCGCCCGACGUCCUGUGCGUAGCAGCCAGGCACACGACGACCAAGCGUAUAGUGGAUGGUAGGAUGCCAGUAGAGAUUGAUGCAUCCAAAGAUUGGAGUGUCUUAGGAUAAUUAAACAAAGAAAUAUAAGGAUGCUGAACCGAGUGCAAUAAAUCUUUUCAAGAACAUGCAUUGCAGCAAGAAGAAAGGUUUUUCUGAAAAUGUAAAGAAAGCAAUUGUUGACAUGGAAGCAAUGGUGACAACACCAGUUGAGGAUGGAGAAUAGCAGAAGUCUCCUAUGGAAGUUGUUUCUGAAGUGCUAGGGGCUCCAAUUUGUUUCUACAUAAUGUUGGUCUGCAAGAUAACUCCAAGAAAAGCUCCACAACAAUUGUUUCUGCAAAGGUGCAAGAACUUCAUAAUCAAUUGGAGUCUGAGAGGCUAGAAAAAGAUGGACUUCAGGAAGAAGUAGAAACCUUAAAGGCUCAGGCACAGGCCUCAAAGGAGACCAUGGACAAUAUGAAGAGAUCGAGGGAAGAAAAUAAUAGUCUCCUCUAUCAGCCGUUGAGCUUCAAUCGAAGCCAAGCGCCCCCAUCUUAAGUCUGUUAUAGUAUAAUGUUAUAUUAGUUCUAGAUUCAUGUUUUAUAAAUUUGGAAUAUGUUUAAACUUUCAUACUUUGAGUUGAAGUUAUAGGAUUUCCUUUGGAUUUUAAGUUACAUGAACUAUAAUCGUAUGGUUUGAAGUUA